rnacentral:lncRNA from 1 species
AAAAAAAAAGGUACAUCUUCCAUAGGUCCGCGAAGAGUAUCAUAUGCUUCUUAAGUACCCCCUCCAUUCACUUUUAUAAGAUGUUCCGUAUAUUUCAAUAUAAUCUACAUACAAAAUGAAAUGAGUGAAUAAAUACGUACAAUUUAUAAUAGUGAACGGAGGGAGUAAUAAAUAGUCAAGCAGGAAACCAAGCAACCGGUCAACCGAAAAGAGUUGACAGAAACUUAUCAUAUAGGAUUAAUUUUCCACUUACAUAUUCCCUCCGUCCCAUAAUAUAAGAGCGUUUUUUACACUAGACUACGUUCUUAUAUUAUGGGAGAAAUGGCAAGUCCGUAUGUGACAAAGGAUCACGUGCAAACAGAAAGUGCAAACAGAAAUAUCAAGCACAGCCGCUUUGUGCUUUCUGCAGCAUGCCGUCCAGUAAUUCAUGUCCUAGAUAAUUUGGCUUGCAUCUAUUACCAGGCAGAGGCAACCUAGCUAAAAAUGCACACUGCAUCUUUCGUCUUUGUAUUUGCACGUUCAGCAGCUUGAAAAUGUCAGAACAACACUUGUGCACUGAGCUGAACACGGUUAUAGCAUUUGCGUCUGAUGAAACCUUCAGUUAAAAACAGAAAUUGAAACCUUCUACACAUAAGCAACAGUUAAGCAUAUACAGUACAAUACAAAAUGAGGACACCAAUUAUUUGGAUGUACAGCAACGGCGUCAAGGCUGGUGACUCUGAACUUCAUGCAGGGUAGUAUGGUAGGAGCCAGCAGUUUUACUGGAUCUCACAUCAGAGGCCCAGACGUUGGGUUGGGAAACAAAGAAAGCCCAGUCCUCUCAUCAUGGAAAUGACUUCCCAGGUUAGCUGAGUUGUUGGCGUUCAGGCCGGGAUUCGACAUGUCCAUACAAUCACUGAAUGGGUCGAAGAAGUCUGAGUACCUCACAUUGGCUACCGGUAUCUCUGGCAGAGAGUUGAAAAUCCCAUCGAACAUCUCGUAAUUCUCAUCAGCUUGUGGCACAAAGGCAGAGAUGUCAGCUGGUGGUGGGAUUAGAGACACAUAGUCAUCAACUUCUGGAAUUGGCAGAAUGGAAGAGAUAUGCUCGUGGAAUUGUGGCAAAGAAGCAACUAGAUCAUCUCCCGCCUUCUUUGCUCGGAUGACCUUUGCAUGACACAAAGCAGCAUACAGUAAGCAACUAUCGACUGCGUGCCAAAAUGACUAAAAUGCUUAAAUAACCAGGAAGAAAGAUUAAGUACAAAUCGGUUUUUGUCAUCGUCUUUGUAUAUCAUGAUGAAGUCUCCCACUCGAAGGUUAUGGGUUCGGACAUAAUCCCCUGGGAUGUUUAAGGGAGGGAGAAAAAUGUAAGAACUUGAUCCACAAGUGCAACAGAAUAAACAUGAUGAAAAUAAAGGUAUUCACCAGUAUUCUCAAGUACAUACAUCCUGCUCUUGUUGUUCGGCCAGUAUCUGUACGGAGAUAAUAAACUGUGUCAUUGUAGUGGAUAUGCUAGACCAAAUUAAACAUAAAUGCAGGGAUGUCACUGGAACUAAGAACAUUCGUAACAUGAUUCAUAUUCACAUGUCAUACUUCUGAUGGUUUUAGAGAAAACUACCUUAUCUGAUACAAUUCAUUUCUUGUUACACAUGGCAGAGUAUUAAAAUAAAUUACCACCAUCAUAAUCAUGCCAUCAUGCUUUUUUCACAGGAAUUUCGUCAAUUUUAUGGCUGAGAUUGUAAAAGUGAGGUACAACAAAGAUCAUAUGGGUACUGUAGCUCAUAGCAGCAAACAUUAACGCAAAAAAGAAAAACAAUUUGUCCAACCUGUACUUGAAUGUCCACAGUUGCGCAUUUAGCAAAUCAUGCAUGCGUAGACUUCUGCCAUCCUUUGAUGUCAGAAUUGGGAGGUAAGCCUCCGAUUCUUUCUGUGCAAAGAGUGUCGAAGACAAGUGUCAACAGUUAGAGAGCAUGGACUAUGAUGGUAAAAUGAAGUGUGUAAAAGCUGUUUAAAUAAGAACUCACCUUCGGGAGAACAAUUCUCCCAAGCUGGCUUAUGUCACUAUUACGGAGCUCCUUCUGCAGAAUAACUCGCAACCCAGCCACUUGAUGCUACACAAACAUUGUAGAAUCUUUUAAUACAAUGCACUAGUUUGAUUAACACUGUUUCCUUUUCUGAAAAAAAAUACUUCCUAUAUGUUUUGCAUAAAUCUUACAUUUGGAUCUAGAGCAACUCUAUUUAAAUCCAGCUCAUUUACCUAUCACAAAAAUACGAAUUCAUUUAGGGAGCAGGUAGAAAAAAUAUUAAGUACCACAUUAGAUGUGUCUAUUUCUAAGUUGAAACGGAAAUUCUUAUUUCUAAGUCAAUGAUCCUGAGCAUUGAUGCUUCAACUAACGGAAAAUAAAUAGCUGCAAAUUGUAGAUUGUGUACAACUUAGUCAACGUAGAAAUGAUUAUCUUAAGCUGGUGACAAAUGUGUAAAUAGCAAGUGUCUUAAGUUGUACUACAAAUGCCCUCUUACACCAGUUCUUUCCAUCAUAGUAAUAGAAAUGAUGCUACGUUCACAAAGUUUCUCGCCUCUUAAACAGCUUAAGAACAGCGCAGAUAAUUUUCAUAGCUUCUGUUUAAAAUAAUCCCUCCGUCCCAAAAUAAGUGUUUCAACUUUGUACUAGCUCUAGUAUAAAUUUGUACUAAGCUCAAGACACUUAUUUUGAGUAUAAGAUAAAUCACCCUACAAAGUCCAAAUCAAACAUGAAAACAUAACUAGCACCUGGAAAUUGCAUUAAGCUCAAAAGAAGUUACUUGGGGCCAUUAAGGUUCAAGAACCCCAGUCCCAAGAAACACUGCUACAUUCAUACCAGAUGAUCUACCAGUCCUUCCAGUCAGCACACUGGUACACAAGUACACAUAAUGUAUCAGCUAGUAUAUACUGCCUGACAUAAUUACCGUUGUGGCCCAUGCCCCAUCUAUGGAAAAAAAGCCAAAAGAUUCAUUGAAAUGAAAAAUUCAAUUAACAUGUGCUGCUAUUUCCUGCGAUUAUUGUGCUGCAGUAAGCUACUAGAGAAAGCACAUGUAUGGACAAUUCCUACAAACUUUGCAGCGCCUCCUGGAAAUAGCAAUAACACGACAUUUGUGGACACAGUAAAUGUGCAAUGCACAUAACAACAUUGACAAAAGAAAGUGAGUAUGUGAAGGACUAAAUCACGCACUUGUAGCUAAUACUUAGUGUGCACUGCUGUAAUAUAUAUAACCACGCAAGAAUUCUUGUUUUUUCUUUUCAAAAAGAGGGGAAAGACCCUCGGCGUCUGCACUGAGUGAUGCACACAGUCAGGCAAGUGCUCUUGUUACCCUUGCACAUAACUACACUGACAUCAUGAUAAUGCGAACCGCUAAGUGUUCUUGUUACACUGAAACUGCAAGAUGGGACCUACAGGACAUAUUCUAUCCAUGUGCCACAUGAGACACGACAGAACAUGAGUUCCCAAAUCUUACUCUGAUUAUUAGUUCCCAAACAUGGAUAAUUAGUACUAUAUGAUGAGUUAUUGACUGGCCAAAACUAGUACCAGUGAACGGACCAUCGACGUCGUAGAUCCGACAGAGAAGUACAAUAAUAACCCCUUACCAUAACCUGUUGCCUAGCACUAACGACAACAAUCGAGCAAAAAAAAAUCAAAUGAUCACAUUCACACCUAAGCACACACCCGUACGCUAGGUCGGUGAAAUCUGAUCGUGGAAUUCAAAAGAAGACCUGCAAAGAUCCCCUAGACUCGCAACAAUGCACCAAUCAAAUCGGCAAUCGGGCAGAUCAGAGCCCCCAAUCAACCACAAACGUCAACACCUAGAGGCGCCUCGAUCGCUGUCCAUCAAUCAAAACUCAAAAUCCGGGACCAGGAGGAGGAAGGAACGAACGAACGAUCGCCCUCCUCUUGCCCCUGGGCCUCCAGCCCGCCACCACGGCCCACCACCUCCUCGGAGAUCCCAUAUAUACGGAGGAUCAACCCCACCUACACACAGUAGGACGUGGCCAUGAAUUCCGAGGCACUCACUGGUCGGAUCGCCGGCAUCCACCGGACGCCGCCGCGGGGCCCGCGGCCGCCGGACCUCCGCUUCCGGGUGACCAGCUGCGGCCGGUACUCGCCGAUUCCGUCGCCGGAGGAGGAGGAGGUGGUGGAUGCGGAGGGGGAG